rnacentral:rRNA from 1 species
AACGAACGCUGGCGGCAUGCCUAACACAUGCAAGUCGAACGAAGGCUUCGGCCUUAGUGGCGCACGGGUGAGUAACGCGUGGGAAACUGCCUAUUGGUGGGGAAUAACGACGGGAAACUGUCGCUAAUACCGCAUAAGCCCUUCGGGGGAAAGAUUUAUCGCCGAUAGAUGUGCCCGCGUCCGAUUAGCUAGUUGGUGAGGCAAUGGCUCACCAAGGCGACGAUCGGUAGCUGGUCUGAGAGGAUGAUCAGCCGCACUGGGACUGAGACUCGGCCCAGACUCCUACGGGAGGCAGCAGUGGGGAAUAUUGGACAAUGGGCGAAAGCCUGAUCCAGCAAUGCAGCGUGAGUGAUGAAGGCCUUAGGGUUGUAAAGCUCUUUCGGGUGGGACGAUGAUGACGGUACCACCAGAAGAAGCCCCGGCUAACUUCGUGCCAGCCGCCGCAGUAA